AAAAUAAAAGUCAACCGAUUGCUAACUAAACAAAUGAUUUCUUGGUUUGCUAAUCUAAGAGAUUCUUUAUUUCAUUUUAGCGUAUUGAAAUCAAACUUGAUAAACCAUGACUUCUUUUUUUGUAACUGACUUAAAAGUGACAAUUCACUAGUUAUCCCUCAGUUUCAGUUUAAAUGUCAUUGUAGAAUAAAUUAUCGUUUCAAAAUAAAUAUCGUUUUUUUUAAUUUGAAUGCAAUUUUUUUAACUUUUUAUUCCAAUCUAUUUUUCUAAUAGUUGAAAUGUGGUUAAUUGUAUUGGUAAUGAUGUUUUUAUUUCGAAAAUAUGUAAAAAUUAAAUAUUUUAUUAAUUUGUGUGACCAAGUUUUAAACGGCAAUUAAAUGAAAACGAAAGGGUUGUUUUUAGCAUUUGAGGUUUCUCAAUCUCUUUUAAUGAUUGCAAUCUAACAAUAAUAAAAGGAGAAUAAGCUCAAUGUUUAGCUAUGCCACGUAGACAAAUUAAUUCAAACCAAUCACAGUGCUAUAUUAUGCCAUGUCAUCUAUUGCAGUGAACCCUAUAGCUUUCGUCGCCGACUGAUCGCCUUCUUUUUGAUCCUUUUCUUCGGAGAGACCCAUCAGCUUUCACCUCUUUAGCUUCUCCUCUAUAACGUUAACGAAUCAUAAUCGUGACCCAUAAAGCUCUAUCAUUUAUUGCAAUCAUUAUAUAAUCUAUCUCUUCCCCUCCGAUUUUGCUGAGAAGAAAAUGAUUUAGAAUCUAUCUUUUCCAGGUUCUGCCAAUGUCAUCAACUCUAGAUCAAGUCAAAAUGCAAAGACUCUUUAACCAACAACCUCCCAGACCUGUCUGAGGUGGUGGACGAGGUGCUGGUCCUGCUGCGCCUCCUGUGAGAAGACCACGACCUCGACGCCACCCAGAUGUCAGCAUUUCAGAAUUGAUGGCUUCCCCAUCCCGGCUUCAGAUGCCUCUCAUACAUCCUGAGAAAGAAAACAAUGGGCUUUGGUUUAAGAUUGACAAAUGUUUAACUGAUGAUUGUAACAUGGUCGCUGAUGAGAUGAAAUUUACCUGGUGGGGAGACUUUGUGCAAAAGUAUUAUUGGGCCCCAUUCAUGACAAUGUGGUGCGUUUACAUUGGAAGAAGACAAUGAUGUCGUUGAUCUCCAACUUCAUCAGCAAGCGCAAGCGGAGUGGCAAGAUACCUCCAUUCAUGAGUUCAGAGCACUGGGGUGCUUUGCAAACAUAUUGGGGGUACUGAACCUGCUAGAAAGAAAAGCAAGUCUACAUCUGAAAGCCGCUGCUCAGAUCAAGGAGGUCUAGGUCAACACAUCCACACUGCUGCUUCGACACGAUUUAUGAAGAUCAAAUAUGAUAUGAUGGUUGCUAAUGGUGGGAUUGAACCCACGUUGAUUUAUCUUGUGAGAAAGACCCAUACUCGGAAAGAUGGCACAUUUGCAGAUGGUCGUGCAAAGAAAAUUGUAGAAGAUGUUGAAGCUGCGGUGACCCAUUCUGAAUGACUUGGUGGGGAGGGGUCUGCUGCAACAACGCCAUCACCGCAACAACUUGAUAAUUUUUAUUGAGUUUUUUUAAUAGGCUGCCCACCUUACAAAGGGCGUGUUUAUGGCCUUGGCUCUGCUCAUUGUUAUUAUGGUGAUUCCACGCCUUCCACCUCAACUGCUAAUAGCCACAUUCACAAGCCUUGGCAAAACCGUCGAAUACGCCACGGACAGCCACGGCCUCCACUUUAGCAACGAUCGUAUAUCAACGAAAAUAAUCGUAAUUUAGCCAGAGAUGUGAUCCUUGAGCCACACCAAUUUCCCUGGCCAUCCGAUACAUUUCUUGUAGUGUUUGUGGCCAAAACCAAAUUAAGUUGUAGUUUAAAGAUUUCUUGGAUUCUUUAUCUUCCAUUACAUCAGAUUCAUCACCGCUAAAUGCUUUGAAAUCUUCUCAGAGCUCUCUUGCUUAAUCAGAGAAGAGAUUAUUCAUAGAUAUUACUGUCUUUACUUCACAGCGAGAUGGCUUCAACAAAAUGGAAUUGAGCUGAAAACACAGUCUGGAAACUCAAAUUCCUAAUGGCGCCACCUUCAUCAUUAUCGGCUGUAUCCAAAGAAGGCAUUGUAUCCAAAGAAGCCAGUGCCGUCCUAACAUAAGUUGUAACCAGGACGGUGUGAUACUAGGUGUGGAUACCCGAGCAACUGAAGGGCCUAUUGUUUCUGAUAACAAUUAUGAGCAAAUUCACUUAAGGGUACCAAACAUAUAUUGAUGUGGGGCUGAACAGUGCAUUCCAAGUUAUGAAGAGAUACAACAAAAAGCCUCAUCGUUAAGAAAAUUUGCGCCGACCACCGGAGGAGCCAAGAAGCCUCACGUCCCGGAACCGCUACUCUUCGUAAGAUGGAUUAUAAAAUAAAAUACCAGAAGAGUACGGAGCUGUUGAUCCGUAAAAUUUUAUUAAAUUUGAAGACAGUUAAAUUUACGUGAAUCUAUUUCAAUAAUUUUAAGAAAAACAAGGCACAUUUUCAUAUUAAGAUAUUUAAUAUAUUACUCUUUUCAAUUCUAUACAGUUUCACAAUAUGAGAUUUUUAGUAUA